GAGAAAGUUAGAGUCCUGUGGUCUGGAACACAAUGUUUGAUUCAUAUGCUGAGGGUAGGGGUUGUUAGAGAGGGGACAUGAGGUUUGGAAACUUCAGUUCUUGAUUCUUGAUUCUUUGUCAUGGAAGCCAGUUGUGUUCUGAGCAAAGGUAUUUAGUCACCAUUUCUUGGAACUCAGGAUAUUCAUGGGGCAGAACUGGUAGUGAGCAGAUGGCUAGGUCAUUUAAAGCCAAAAUGGAGUUGCUUGGCCUUGUGCUUUGAACAGCAAGGACAAGGCCUGUUUCUCAUAGGUGAAAGGAGCCGUACAAGCUGCAAAGACCAGAAAGGCAGGUCGGAGUUGUAGGAACCAUUCUUACACAGUGCACAGUGAGCUCCUCUGUGACAAAUCCCUGGGGUGUGACUUACACUACAAUUUUACCAUAAAACAGUUGUUAACUUGGCUUUAGGAGUCAUUCAUUGCUUUUGAAGUUCAGUGCGGACAUUCCAGAGCCUAGAGUUAGAUGUGGAAGAGUGCAAAAUAUCUAUCUGUGCACCACUGAUCUGAAGGAUCCAAAUGAGGGCUUGGAGAUCAGUAUAGUGUCUCCUUCCAGUCAGUACCAUGAAACUGAAGUGCCCAUAAUGGAAGGCUGAGGCUGUGCACCAGAAUGUUGAAGAGUGCGUGCUGGCUUCCCAGAUAUAAUAUUUAAUGUGAAGACUGGAGCUCCUUCAGAGAAUCUGAAGCAACUCAUCCCUCUUCGUUUCCCUUUUGUACCAUGCUGGAUAUAAUCCUCCCUAGGAUGGGCCUUUCAUACCUACAUACAAUGCUGAUCCAGUUUAGUUAGGUAUUUCUUACUCAAAUUCACACAACCCAUUAACUAUCAUAGGCAGGGUGAUGGGAACUCUUUGACUGACAGCCGUUGUGCCUGUUGGGAAAAUGAUGGCACUGAAACCAAUCUUUAGGGUUUGGGGAAUGCUGAAAAUGUUAAAGUGGGCCCAAGUCCUCUCUGCCUCAUCUUAGUCAUCUUAGUUUUCAACCCUCCUUCAAAGAGGCAGCAGCAGUGUCUAAAGUACCAAGAGCAGAAGAGGGUCACCAGUGGUUACAGUGAAACAGAACUCAUGUUAGAGCCUCCUGGAGGACAGGGGCUUCGAGGUAACCCAGGAAGAUACUAGGCAAGUUGUCUCAGUCCCCUGGGGGUGGUGGUGCAACUAACAGAAAAUGAUUGUGGUUGGGGGCGAUCCAUGGCAGGAAAAGAUGAGUCUUGGCAUGUCUCAUCACUCUCAGGGCUAAAAUUCUUAUGAAAAUACCACAUGUCUCAGAAAUCUUUAAAAACUGGUUUUCUCUCUCAUGUUUUUGUGUUGUGCUUCAGAGAGAAAGUCACAUUAGAGACACUUUGUACUUCUAAAGAAGAUUAUGCUCCUAAAGAUAAUUGUUUUCCUUUUUCUGUGUUUCUUGUAAUCUUUCGAUCCAUCUCUAGAUUUACCUCAUAUGACUCUACUUCAAAUAUUAAUAUCUGUUUUUAUUGCAAAUGAU